UCCGGCUUAUCACCGGCAGUUUCUUUAGAGUGCUCAACUAAAUGGUAGCAACUAAAGACGAGGGUUGCGCUCGUUGCGGGACUUAACCCAACAUCUCACGCCGUAAACGAUGGGUACUAGGUGCCUGGGGGAGCGACCCUCUGGGUGCCGGCGCUAACGCAGGAAGUACCCCGCCUGGGGAGUACGACCGCAAGGUUGAAACUCAAAGGAAUUGACGGGGGCCCGCACAAGCGGUGGAGCAUGUGGUUUAAUUCGACGCAACGCGAAGAACCUUACCUAGGCUUGACAUGCACGAGCAAGCUCUCAGAAACGAGAGCCCCUCUUCGGAGAUCGUGCACAGGUGCUGCAUGGCUGUCGUC
rnacentral:misc_RNA from 1 species